UUAAAGCUAGCCUGUACACCUACCUUAAACCCAACCCUAUUAAUUACUUCAUAUACUAAUCCCUAACUAAAACAUUUUUACCUUUUUAGUAUGGGCGACAGAACAAAAACUCAGCGCAAUAAAUUAUGUACCGCAAGGGAAAGCUGAAAAAGAAAUGAAACAAAUAAUUAAAGUAACAAAAAGCAGAGAUUCCACCUCGUACCUUUUGCAUCAUGAUUUAGCUAGAAAAACUAGACAAAGAGAUCUUAAGCCUACCUUCCCGAAACUAAACGAGCUACUCCGAAGCAGCACAAUUCUAGAGCCAACCCGUCUCUGUGGCAAAAGAGUGGGAAGACUUCCGAGUAGCGGUGAAAAGCCUAUCGAGUUUAGUGAUAGCUGGUUGCCCAAGAAAAGAACUUUAAUUCUGCAUUAAUUUCUUCAUUACCAAAAAGUCUAUCUUACCAAGGUUAAACAUAAAAAUUAAUAGUUAUUCAGAAGAGGUACAGCCCUUCUGAACCAAGAUACAACUUUUGAAGGAGGGAAAAUGAUCAUAUUUAUUAAGGUUUCCACCUCAGUGGGCUCAAGAGCAGCCACCUGUAAAGUAAGCGUCAUAGCUCCAGUUUCACGAAAACCUAUAAUUUAGAUAUCUUCCUCAUAACCCCCUUAACUAUAUUGGGCUAUUUUAUAAAAUUAUAAAAGAACUUAUGCUAAAAUGAGUAAUAAGAGGAUAAACCUCUCCAGACACAAGUGUACGUCAGAAAGAAUUAAAUCACUGACAAUUAAACGACUCCAGACUGAGGUCAUCAUACCAAUAUUAUCUUAACUAGAAAAUCCUAUUAUAACAUUCGUUAACCCUACACAGGAGUGUCUCAAGGAAAGA
rnacentral:rRNA from 1 species